ACAUCCACAUCCUCCAUCCUCCUCAUCCUCCAUCCACAACCCCCAUCCUCCUCGUCCUCCCCACCCACCAUCCUCCUCAUCCUACAUCCACAUCCUCCAUCCUCCUUGUCCUUCACCCACCAUCCUCUUCAUCUUCCAUCCACAAUCUCCAUCUUCCUCAUCCUACAUCCACAUUCUCCAUCCUCCUCAUCCUCCGUCCACAACCCCCAUCCUCCUCAUCCUCCAUCCACAUCCUCCAUCUUCCUCGUCCUCCCCACCCACCAUCCUCCUCAUCCUACAUCCACAUCGUCUAUCCUCCACCCACCAUUCUCCAUCCUCCUCAUCCUCCAUCCACAUCCUCCAUCUUCCUCGUCCUCCCCACCCACCAUCCUCCUCAUCCUACAUCCACAUCGUCUAUCCUCCUCAUCUUCCAUCCAUAUCUUCCAUCCUCCUCAUCUUCCACCCACAUUUUCCAUCCUCCUCAUCCUCCACCCACCAUCCUCUAUCCUCAUCAUCCUCCACCCACAUCCAUCCAUCCAUCCCUCCAUCCAUCCCUCCAUCCCCACCCCCCCGCUGUGUCCUGCCCCUCCUGCCACCUGCAGAGCCCAGGACGUGUCCCCUGACCCUCACAUGGGCAUCUCCAUGCCCAGGACACCACAGCCGGUGCUCUGGCGAGCCCGUGCCGCGCUCACCUCCUCGUAGUCAUUCUCAGGGGUGAGGAACUCAUCCACGAUGGUGACCCGGUGUCCCAGCUGCUCGCUGAGGGCGUCCAGGAAGCGGUCGGUGUCGCGGCUGCGCGGGGGCCGGGAGAAGGUGUGCACCACCCCACACCCAGCACUGCCCUCCACCAGCUGGAGCUCUGCAGAGCCAGCCCCACGCUCACCCACAGAACCAUCGCUGCUGCCUUGUGAAACAGCACCAAGGGGACACUGCCUUGUCCCCCUCCGCCUGGCCAGCACCACCCACCGUGCCCUGAGGUCCCCCAGAGGGAUCAGGCGGACGGGGACCUCCACGGUGUCACUGCCUGCAGGAGGGAGAGACAAACCAGUCACUGCUCUGUCUGUGCCCCAGCCCCACAGCCCAGGCCCA